rnacentral:rRNA from 1 species
UACGAAGGGUGCAAGCGUUAAUCGGAAUUACUGGGCGUAAAGGGUGCGUAGGCGGUUAGUUAAGUCUGUCGUGAAAUCCCCGGGCUCAACCUGGGAAUGGCGAUGGAUACUGGCUAGCUAGAGUGUGUCAGAGGAUGGUGGAAUUCCCGGUGUAGCGGUGAAAUGCGUAGAGAUCGGGAGGAACAUCAGUGGCGAAGGCGGCCAUCUGGGCAGUGGCUGACGCUGAGGCGCGACAGCGUGGGGAGCAAACAGG